GGACCUCGGCGAAAGCCGUUCGACCAGCGAAAGCUCUUAGACAGGAGGUUAGGUGCUCCGAAAGGAGCACU
rnacentral:ribozyme from 1 species